rnacentral:misc_RNA from 1 species
AGGCUACUGUCUGGACGCAGCAAGACGCGGCGCCGACCCAUUUGCCCAUGGCACGUCCCGUCGCAGGUACGGCAUCGCUCCUCUAUCUGUCGCUCUUGGCCUCUUCUCUCUUUUGGUGUCGUUGACUGGGCGCCUUUUCUUUUUCUGGUGUUUCACUCUCUGCAGUCGGUGCUGUGCAUUCUGGUACGUGCGGCACCUCUCUCUACUCUCGACAGUGUGCUUGCACUUUAUUAUACACUUGUAGUGGAACUGCUUAUCGACACAAAUUCGUCUACACAGGCGUACCCCCUUGGGCGCCAUCGCACUCGCUCUUCUUUUUCUCUUGAUUUUAGUGGUUUCUUCUGCCUUGUGCAUGUGCUGGCGAUGGGCGGCGUACGCAUCGCCCGAUGCAACCCCAAGUUGCUCGACUUUGUUACAUGGGCUGUUAUGAAAGGGUGCCGCCUCUUCCAGCGUGUCCACGUCACUCCGCUGGGCCUUGUUGCCACUGAGCGGAUUCCGGAGUUCGACUUUGUCGCCGUCGUCCCCGUCGAGGCAACGCAGAGCCUGCUGAGCAUCGCCGAUGACCCAAGCUUUGCCUUGAAGGUGUCUGCCGAGCGACACGGUGAGCCUGUGCCGUUCUGGGAGGACCUGACACGUGGCUCCUUCGUGUUUCUGGGGUUUCUCACCAAGGCGCUUCUCACUGGUCAUCCGCGCGGCGUGCAGACUUAUUUGGAUGUGCUGCCGUUUGACCCGGCGAUGCCGAUUGGUAAAGUGGCAGAUGCGGCGCAGACUACGAAAGGCUACAAGGAGUGGGCGGCGCCGCUCGUGGCGCAGUGCAAAGUGGAGGAGAGCGACUUCGACGCUGCUUUCCGCCACGUCUACUGCCUCUUCCGCCGUCACGCGAUUCCGUUCUGGUCGACUAGUGAUGUCGGCGGCUCGGGGCACCCCUAUUUCCGGCAAUUCCCGUAUGCGCGGCGAGGGCAGGGGGAGCUGAUGGGUAUGGUGCCGGUCAUGGACUUGGCGCUGCACUCGCCACAGCCGAACGCCAUGAUUGGGUAUCCAGAUGAGGAAAUGUUGCAGUGGCUUUCGCUUCACAAGAAGGCAGCGGUGCAGCAGGAGAAAGGUUACUUUGUAAUGCAGGCAUUCCGCGACAUCGAAGAGGGUGAGGUAAUAUCGGUUAAUAAGAACGCGUACUUCAACUUCGACGACGACGCUUUCGAGGCGUGGUUUGGAUACCCAAAUGUGUCUCAGGUUUCGGCGGAGGGGAGCGGAGAGCUCGGCAGUGGGAGCAAGUCAAACGGAGGAGAGGGCGCGGCAGUAAACUGCGCCUUCUGAUACGCGCAUGUGUGUGUGCGUGUGGACAUGGUGCUUCCCACUUCGAGCACGCGUUGCUGCUCGCAUCUGCUGCUGCUGAUACUGCGUGUACGACAUGAGCCUUGAAUGCGCGGAAUGCAAAUGCCUUCUUUGCUCCGCGUCUCCCAUACUGAUGGCGACAAGAGAGCAUGUGUGCCGCGAGGGGGGGGGGAGAAAGAGUGGUGUGGAGGAGGAGCAGAAGAAAAAGAUGAUGACCAUCAUGCGCUGUUGGGGUUCAACAAGGGACCAACGUGCGCAGAGAGGAUUGCUGAAAACAGUGGCUGCACUUCAUGCUUGUCAGAGCUGUCUGGGGCGGGGCUGGUCAUAUUCCGUCUCCUGUGAUCCACUUUUUUCCCUUUGUGUUGUGACCACCCCUCCUCGAGCCCCGCCUCCACUUGGGCUCUAUUCAACUCCGCGUGUUUCUCCCUCUGUGGUCUCGCCACUUUUCCCCAUUCUGUGCUUGCAUGACGCGUUGAGUGGGUGGGAGAGGUGCUGCAGUCUGACAGGGCGACAGAGGGGAGGAGGCGGGGAGUAGCAAAGGGGGUGCUGAUAUGUCUUUACAGAUCUUCCGGCACACAAGCUGUAAAAGAAAGACGAUUCUAAAGCCGAGGAUAGAUGAACCACCACUCCUUACUCCACAGCCACGGAGCGAGGCAGGCGAAUGUCUCUGGCGGCGCAGCUUGAUGCCGAGGGAAAGGGAGGGGCUGUCACGCUUAAAGAUGACCGCGUUCGGUGAUGGUUUGCCAUGCCAAGCCCACCACUUUUGUGUACUGCGGCUAGUCUGCACAUCUACCGAGGCGCGCUUGCGGGUAAACGCAUGCGUAGGCGGAUUGAAGAGAGAGUGGGGUGUGGGUAAUCUUGCUUGCUUCCCGCACUGCACUGCUCAUAUCUCAUGUCGUCGCACUCUCGCUCUCUCAUGCCCUUUUCUUGUCUGCAGAUCUCAACGUUGAGGAAACAGUGGCAUUCACUGAGGCAGGUGUGGCGCUCCUUUUCCUUUGCCUGCCGUCCUCUUCUCCGUUUGGUGCCGCGGGCUCAUCCUAUCACUUCCUCUCCUCUCUCUGCUGCACACUUCUGCGCGUGCACACACUUGUACGGGACGUUGCCACUCCACACACGAGUUCUGGGACACCGGCCUGGUUGAGUGAACGACAUAG